rnacentral:rRNA from 1 species
ACUCCUACGGGAGGCAGCAGUGGGGAAUAUUGCACAAUGGAGGAAACUCUGAUGCAGCAACGCCGCGUGGAGGAUGACACUUUUCGAGCGUAACUCCUUUAUAUAGGAAGAUAAUGACGGUACUAUAUGAAUAAGCACCGGCUAACUCCGUGCCAGCAGCCGCGGUAAUACGGAGGGCGCAAGCGUUUACUCGGAAUCACUGGGCGUAAAGAGCGUGUAGGCGGAUAGAUAAGUCAGAAGUGAAAUCCUAUAGCUCAACUAUAGAACUGCUUUUGAAACUGUCUAUCUAGAAUAUGGGAGAGGUAGAUGGAAUUUCUGGUGUAGGGGUAAAAUCCGUAGAGAUCAGAAGGAAUACCGAUUGCGAAGGCGAUCUACUGGAACAUUAUUGACGCUGAGACGCGAAAGCGUGGGGAGCAAACAGGAUUAGAUACCCUGGUAGACUGUCA